GUAGGUGGCAAGCGUUGUCCGGAAUUAUUGGGCGUAAAGCGCGCGCAGGUGGUUCUUUAAGUCUGAUGUGAAAGCCCCCGGGCUCAACCGGGGAGGGUCAUUGGAAACUGGGGAACUUGAGUGCAGGAGAGGAAAGUGGAAUUCCACGUGUAGCGGUGAAAUGCGUAGAUAUGUGGAGGAACACCAGUGGCGAAGGCGACUUUCUGGCCUGUAACUGACACUGAGGCGCGAAGGCGUGGGGAGCAAACAGGAUUAGAUACCCUGGUAGUCCACGCCGUAAACGAUGAGUGCUAAGUGUUGGGGGGUUUCCGCCCCUCAGUGCUGCAGCUAACGCAUUAAGCACUCCGCCUGGGGAGUACGGUCGCAAAGACUG
rnacentral:rRNA from 1 species